AGGGCUGGUGGCAGGCUGCGGCCAUUCGCCCUGCGCAGGGAGAGGCCCAGGCCUGCUGCUCCCGCGGAGGCCAGUGACUGAAUUCCACACGUUUUCCUAAGCGUGCAGGGGCCUUCUGGGGACCCGCGUGCUACGGGCCACAUGCUCCCCAACCUAGAUCCGGCUGCGCGCAGGAGUGCUUCGCGGAGCGAGCGUGCUGCAUCCGACAGGCCUUAGGGUAGAGGGGCAGACCGAGGACUAGGCAGACACCUGUACCUCUAAGAGUCCCUGAGAGCCAUGAGUGCUGGAAGAGCCCCAGGGCUUCGUCUGCACACAUAGGUGCUGUCUGCUAAGGUUUAGAUCUUUAGGGAUCUCCGGAACCAGCUAGGGUCACACCGUGAACAUCUCCUUCAAGGCCUCCCAGGAGUCCAGGCUCCAAUGAGGAAAGCGUUUGUAGGGAGCAAAAAUUGCCAUCUAAGCCAAGGGCAGGUGUGCAGAUUGAGUGUGGGGACUCUGGCCGGAGGACGCAACACAUCAGGCUGCCUCCACUAUGCCAGAAGGAGGAGGCGCCUCCCGGGCCACAGGAGGUUUCAGCACUCAGAGAAAGACUUAUUUUCUCUAAAUUAGGAAAUCAUGUGGGAAUUGGAAAAGAUUGGAAAUUCUGAAUUGCUUUCCCAGGCUCUGAAAAAAACAGGAAGACAAAA
rnacentral:lncRNA from 1 species